CGAACUUCGGAUUGACUUGGCGUAAUAGACUAUUCGCUGAGGAAUUCUAGUCUUCGGACUAGAGCCGGGUUGGGUUAAAGGAAGCUUCUAAUCAGAAUGUCUACAUUUUAAGAUUAGAUCUCAAAUCAGGUAGGACUACCCGCUGAACUUAAGCAUAUCAAUAAGCGGAGGAAAAGAAACUAACAAGGAUUCCCCUAGUAGCGGCGAGCGAAGCGGGAAGAGCUCAAAUUUAUAAUCUGGCACCUUCGGUGUCCGAGUUGUAAUCUCUAGAAAUGUUUUCCGCGUUGGACCGCACACAAGUCUGUUGGAAUACAGCGGCAUAGUGGUGAGACCCCCGUAUAUGGUGCGGACGCCCAGCGCUUUGUGAUACAUUUUCGAAGAGUCGAGUUGUUUGGGAAUGCAGCUCAAAUUGGGUGGUAAAUUCCAUCUAAAGCUAAAUAUUGGCGAGAGACCGAUAGCGAACAAGUACCGUGAGGGAAAGAUGAAAAGCACUUUGGAAAGAGAGUUAACAGUACGUGAAAUUGUUGGAAGGGAAACGCUUGAAGUCAGACUUGCUUGCCGAGCAAUCGGUUUGCAGGCCAGCAUCAGUUUUCCGGGAUGGAUAAUGGUAGAGAGAAGGUAGCAGUUUCGGCUGUGUUAUAGCUCUUUGCUGGAUACAUCUUGGGGGACUGAGGAACGCAGUGUGCCUUUUGGCGGGGGUUUCGACCUCUUCACACUU
rnacentral:rRNA from 1 species